GCUGGAUGAGUACUGCAUCGAUGUCCUUCUGCUGGAGUUGCUGGUACAGGAUGUCCACAUGGGGCAUGAUGUUGUGAAAAACGCUCAAGAAAAAAACAAAGUCUUCGGGUGAAUCUCAUUCCUUUGCUCCAAAGAAAAUCUCAGCCCUAGCCCUCGCUGUUGCGCGUGCACGCACCGUGGAGCAAUGUCCCAAUACCUCUUUAAUGUAGCUUUAAGGGGUAAGGGGGAGGGCUAACAUCCCCUCAAAAUUGAGAUUUUCGAUGGGCACCCUCAAAGCGCUUCAGUUCUGAACACACAAUACCUUGCGAGAAAACGGAAAAUCAAGAAAUAUCCUAGACAAGAUGGAGGACGAAAAGAUGCGACAGGAUUGGAAAAACACAAAUGACUUUGUUGAGUCCACUGCCACCAGCCCCCCCCACCUCUCCCUCAUGCUCCUCCACCCCAGGCACCUCUUCCACCACCCCAGACACCCCUUCCAAGAGGAGAGUGCCAGGGGGCAGGCGAGGCAUGAGGAGAGCGAGGCAAAGUUGGCGGAAUGGUGGAGAAGAUGUGAUUCUCCACCAUUCUCUCAAAAGCUGAGAGAGAGUGUGUGUGUGUGUGUGUGUGUAUUUUUAGGUGUGCGUGUGUGUGUAUUUUUAGAUGCGUGUGUUUGUAUUUUUAGAUGUGUGGUUCAGUGUUUCUUAUUUAAAUAAAGUGUUUCUUCUAAAGUGUUCUUGUUCUUAACCGAUUAUUAUCUAAGGGUGCACUCACUAGGCCAUCUGUCCGUGGCCGUGGCCGUUUUAGCACCUAACCGUGCUCAAAUCUGCCAGUGUGAGUGUGGCCAGUCUGGCUAAUACCACCUUUAACAGUAUUAUUAUUUUUUUAACACUUUAUUUAAACAUGCCAAUUAGAAAAAUAUAAAUACCAUUUCAGGUUAAACAUCUUUACAAUGGGUCUUGCUCGUUGACCGAGACAAUGGCAGCCAGUCUGUCUCUUGUAACAUUACCAGGGGUCUGGUUAUCUGCUAGGGGGCACGGGGAGGCCAUGAUGACGUCACAGGGUAGGGUUGUCCCAUUUGGUAGGGGACCGUUAAGGGGUAGCAAUGAGGGGUAGCAAUGAGAUUGAGCAAUGAGGGUUAGGGUUGAGAUGUAGGGUUGAGACAGAG
ensembl:lncRNA